rnacentral:rRNA from 1 species
UACGGAGGGUGCGAGCGUUGUCCGGAAUCACUGGGCGUAAAGGGCGCGUAGGCGGCUUCUCAAGCGUGUGGUGAAAGUCCGGGGGCUCAACCCCCGGAUCGGCCGUGCGGACUGGGGAGCUCGAGUUCUGUAGAGGCGGGUGGAAUUCCGGGUGUAGCGGUGGAAUGCGUAGAGAUCCGGAAGAACACCGGUGGCGAAGGCG